UUUUUUUUUUUUUUUUAUUUUUUUUUUUUUUUUUUUUUUUUUUUAAAUAUAAAACGUGUUAUAUUAUUUGAAUUUAGUGAUUAUUCAUGGAAAAAUGUGAGAGUCCGAUUGCCAUGGAGGCUGCUAUGCCUACUACACAAAUAAAGUUAAUAAU
rnacentral:ribozyme from 12 species